GCUGAGAUAGCUCAGUCGGUAGAGCAUAAGACUCUUAAUCGUAGGGUCGUAGGUCAUUCCUCUGUGUAGCUCAGUA